rnacentral:rRNA from 1 species
GACGAACGCUGGCGGCGUGCUUAACACAUGCAAGUCGAACGAAGAGCGAUGGCAGCUUGCUUCUUUCAAUCUUAGUGGCGAACGGGUGAGUAACGCGUAAUCAACCUGCCCUUCAGAGGGGGACAACAGUUGGAAACGACUGCUAAUACCGCAUACGAUCUAAUCUCGGCAUCGAGGAUAGAUGAAAGGUGGCCACUACAUGUAAGCUAUCACUGAAGGAGGGGAGUUCGACUGAUUAGCUAGGUGGAUGGGGAACGGCCCACCAAGGCGAUGAUCAGUAGCCGGGCUGAGAGGAUGAACGACCACAUUGGGACUGAGACACGGCCCAGACUUCUACGGGAGGCAGCAGUGGGGAAUCUUUCGCAAUGGACGAAAGUCUGACGGAGCAACGCCGCGGGAGUGAUGACGGCCUUCGGGUUGUAAAGCUCUGUUAAUCGGGACGAAAGGCCUUCUUGCGAAUAGUGAGAAGGAUUGACGGUACCGGAAUAGAAAGCCACGGCUAACUACGUG